GCAUCACAGUGCAAGCACAGAAAAACUGUUAAAGGAAAAUGAGAUGAAAUGCCUUCCUGCAAAUCAUGCAAGUCCUCAGGAAAAUUGUUUUCCUGCUCUGGUUAUCCAAGUUGGUGAUAGAGACAGACGCUGGUGGGCCCCCACCCCCAGAUCCCCUUGGUCCUCACCAUAUCAGCAUACACUGAUGGCAUCAGCCUGCAGACACCUGCUCUUCUAUACCCGAGGGCUUUCUCUUGGCCCAAGAAGUGAGAAGUUUGAAAGUGCUGAGAAGUCAACAUCUCCAGGAGCAGCCUUCAGCCAACAAUGGAUGGAAGCUGGAGGAUAAAUACACCAGCUUUAUUCCUGCAAGUGAGGCCUCACUGAAGUGUGUUCCAAUCCAUCUCCCGGAGGUCCCAAGUGGCCUUGAGCCUCUGCUGUCCACACUGGUGAUCUGUUCACAACUCGCCCCACGUUGACUUCCUCUCCUUCCCUGCUCCCCAGUGGUGUUUCCUAGGACCAUCUGCAAAUAAACCCCUGCUGCUCUGCCUUAAAGAAUCUUCUGGGGAAACCCAGCCAAAAGCAGACCUAAGACUGACUCACACCUAAGGCUGUGUUCCUUCCACUCUAGCACUUUUAGGAGAUACUAAAUGCCAUUUUUAUUCUUUGGUAUUUUCUCAAACAAUGCGCAUAUAAUCAACAAAACAUGUAACCACAGACUUUAAAAUGCAUUCCUUUGUGCUCCCAUAGGUUUUGUUAUAAACUUCCCAGGAGGCCGGAGGUGAGGUGGGGCUGCUGAUGCAGUGUAUCAUGGUGAAGCUGUAUUUUAGUGUCAAAUACAUGUCAGGCCCAUACUGAAUGCCUUAUGCACACUAUAUUAUUAAAUCCCCGAUAAGUCUUUGUAUUAUGGUUAGUCUUGUGUAGGUUGUCCUUUGACAUAGAGCAAAACUCUUUGAGGUCAAGCAUCAUGUCCAACCCAUUAAAAUAGACUGAAAAAACUCCCAUUAACACAACAGUGUUUGGAGAAGUGAGGGGCAGGAUGGUGGUGUGCCUUCAAGGCAUUCCCUGUCUUCCUUGUACACCCACAGUGCUUUGUGCUUCUUAAAUGUUCAAUGAAUAUGUGAUAGGAUUGAAUGAUGGGCAAACAAGAAAAAUCCAGCCUAGUGGAGCCUCAAGCUAACACAAUUUGGGAGCCUUUGUUAUUAUGAUAAAAUAUUUAUAACAUAGUAUGUAUUAUUUUAACCAUUUUAAGUGUAAGAUUCAGUGGCAGUAAGUAUACAUGGGCUGGGCCCUGCGGCUCACACCUAUAUUCCCAACACUUUGGGAGGCCAAGGCAGGAGGAUCCCUUGAGCUUAGAAGUUUGAGACCAGCCUGGGCAACAUAGUGAGACCUCGUCUCUACAAAAAAUUUUAAAGAUAAAUUAGCCAAGCAUGGUGGUGCAUGGCCUGUAGUCCUACCUACACAGAAGGCUGAGGCAGGAGGCUGAGGUGGAAGAAUAAUUUGACCACAGAAAAUCAAGGCUGUAGUGAGCUAUGAUCCUGCCACUUCAUUCCACCCUGGGCAACAGAGUGAGACCCUGUCUCAAAAACAAACAAACAAACAAAAACAAAGAAAAGAAAAAAUCAGUUUACGUAACAAUGUUGUAUGACUGUCACCUCUAUUUCCAGAACAUUUUAAUGACCCCAAACAGAAACUUUGUAACUAUAAAGCAAUCACUCCAUUCUGCAAUCUCCCUAGCCCCUGAUAACUUCUAACUUACUUUCUGUUCCUAUGAAUUUACCAAUUCUGUCCAGUGUAAGUUAGCACAAUGUUUUCCAGGUUCAUCCAUGUGGUAUCAUAUAUCAGAACCUCAUUCCUUUUAAAAGCUGAAUAACAUUCCAUUGUAAGUACAGACUACAUUUCAUCUAUCCAUUCUUCUGUCUGUGGACAUUUGGCUUGUUUCUACCAUUUAACUUGUGAAGAAUGCUCUUGUGAACAUUGAUGUAUAAGUAUUUGUCUGCGUUCCUGUUUUCAACUCUUUGGGGCAUAUAGGAGUAGAAUCACUGGAUCACAUGGUGAUUAUUUCCUGUUUAACUUUUUAGAGAACUACCAAACUGUUUUGCAUGGUGGUUACGCCAUUUUAUGUAAAAUUUAGCCUGGGAGCUGGAGGGGGAGAGUUUCAAGUUAAGAAUUUAAAAAUAUCUUACCUUUACGUAUUACAAAAAUACAUUCUGCCAUCUUCAGAUGAUGAUGUCUGCCCUCUUGUUCACAAGAUGGCUGCCUCCGUAUUGUGUGAAUAUGUUGUCGAGGCUCUUCCUCAGAACCUGUGCCAGUGAGAAGCCUUGAGCUUCAGCUUCAUUGGCUUCUUGAUAAAUCCAUCUCUGUGGAUUUACAUCUAAGAACAACUUCUCGUCAUUUGCUGAAAAUCACUGAAGUUCGAAUCUUACAAAUAAGAUGAAAAAGGGAAGAGCUACUUUGUAAAUACUUCUGGGGACCAACAUGCUGCUGAGGUUUUAAGAUUUCAGCCUGUCUCCUGGUGAUGUUUGGGUGAACAUCUUCCCUUGACAGACUGUUUCUCAGUAUCACCUUAGACUCAGUCAGGAAGAGCCCCUACAAAAAGCCACAUGCAUUUGAAGGCCUCUCUCCUGCUGUGUUUCAAAGUUCCAAGCUGUUUUGUUCAGGCUGUUCUUCAGGUGCCCAGGACUCUGACAUUUCUUUCUAAUGGGCCAUGAUUUGGUUUCAGAGCCAUGUGUGCCUUUUCCCCGGUCCAUCCUUCCACAGCUCUGCAUACCUUGGUGUCCACAGGGGAGCCGAGUAUGUCUAUUGGAAGUAUGGGAGAAUUGGAUGACAUUUGAACUUGCAGGCUAAAGUGUCUGAAUAUGUUCUCUCAAGACAUCUCACAGGUAGGACAGAGCUGGGGAAUGGGAAGGGAAGAUGCCCACCCAUGGAUCAGGGACUGGAACUAGGAUCUUCUUGUAUCACCAUGUUCCAGCACAAUGCCCCAAAAGGAGUUCAAACACUCAAAAUUGCAAUUUGUCUUCUCAGGUUGUUAUGAUGGCAUACUAUUUUCCAAGGCAUGAGGACAGAACACAUUUAACUUAGCAGUUUAUACCUUAAUUUUUAACUGGUAAAUAUUUAGUAUGUGAUUUGCGGGUCAUUGUUCCUAGCUUGCUCUGGGUCCCACAAGUGUUAGGAAUGGUCCUGCUGUUUCCUUCUCAUCUGUAGUUUGCUAAAUUCAAAUUCAUCCAUCCAAAUACCUGAAUAAACGCUGAUCAAAUU
rnacentral:lncRNA from 10 species